GACGAACGCUGGCGGCGUGCUUAACACAUGCAAGUCGAACGGAAAGGCCCUGCUUUUGUGGGGUGCUCGAGUGGCGAACGGGUGAGUAACACGUGAGUAACCUGCCCUUGACUUUGGGAUAACUUCAGGAAACUGGGGCUAAUACCGGAUAGGAGCUCCUGCUGCAUGGUGGGGGUUGGAAAGUUUCGGCGGUUGGGGAUGGACUCGCGGCUUAUCAGCUUGUUGGUGGGGUAGUGGCUUACCAAGGCUUUGACGGGUAGCCGGCCUGAGAGGGUGACCGGACACAUGGGGACUGAGAUACGGCCCAGACUCCUACGGGAGGCAGGAGUGGGGAAUAUUGCACAAUGGGCGGAAGCCUGAUGCAGCAACGCCGCGUGCGGGAUGACGGCCUUCGGGUUGUAAACCGCUUUCGCCUGUGACGAAGCGUGAGUGACGGUAAUGGGUAAAGAAGCACCGGCUAACUACGUG
rnacentral:rRNA from 1 species